GGGCCCGCACAAGCGGUGGAGUAUGUGGUUUAAUUCGAUGAUACGCGAGGAACCUUACCAGGGUUUAAAUGCAGAACGACAGGGGUGGAAACACCCCCUUCUUCGGACGGACUGCAAGGUGCUGCAUGGUUGUCGUCAGCUCGUGCUGUGAAGUGUCGGGUUAAGUCCCAUAACGAGCGCAACCCCAUUUCUAGUUGCCAGCGGUUCGGCCGGGGACUCUAGAGAAACUGCCAGCGUAAGCUGUGAGGAAGUGGGAUGACGUCAAUCAUCACGGCCCUUACAUCCUGGGCCACACACGUGCUACAAUGGUGGGGACAACAGGUUGCCAACCCGCGAGGGUGAGCCAAUCCCAAAAAGCUAUCUC
rnacentral:rRNA from 1 species